rnacentral:rRNA from 1 species
GUGGGGAAUAUUGGACAAUGGGCGAAAGCCUGAUCCAGCCAUGCCGCGUGUGUGAAGAAGGUCUUCGGAUUGUAAAGCACUUUAAGUUGGGAGGAAGGGCAGUAAGUUAAUACCUUGCUGUUUUGACGUUACCAACAGAAUAAGCACCGGCUAACUUCGUGCCAGCAGCCGCGGUAAUACGAAGGGUGCAAGCGUUAAUCGGAAUUACUGGGCGUAAAGCGCGCGUAGGUGGUUCAGCAAGUUGGAGGUGAAAUCCCCGGGCUCAACCUGGGAACUGACUCCAAAACUACUGAGCUAGAGUACGGUAGAGGGUAGUUGAAUUUCCUGUGUAGCGGUGAAAUGCGUAGAUAUAGGAAGGAACACCAGUGGCGAAGGCGACUACCUGGACUGUUACUGACACUGAGGUGCGAAAGCGUGGGGACCAAACAGGAUUAGAAACCCCGGUAGUCC